rnacentral:rRNA from 1 species
AGUGAACGCUGGCGGUAGGCCUAACACAUGCAAGUCGAACGGCAGCACAGUAAGAGCUUGCUCUUACGGGUGGCGAGUGGCGGACGGGUGAGGAAUACAUCGGAAUCUACUUUUUCGUGGGGGAUAACGUAGGGAAACUUACGCUAAUACCGCAUACGACCUACGGGUGAAAGCAGGGGAUCUUCGGACCUUGCGCGAUUGAAUGAGCCGAUGUCGGAUUAGCUAGUUGGCGGGGUAACGGCCCACCAAGGCGACAAUCCGUAGCUGGUCUGAGAGGAUGAACAGCCACACUGGAACUGAAACACGGUCCAGACUCCUACGGGAGUCAGCAGUGGGGAAUAUUGGACAAUGGGCGCAAGCCUGAUCCAGCCAUACCGCGUGGGUGAAGAAGGCCUUCGGGUUGUAAAGCCCUUUUGUUGGGAAAGAAAAGCAGCAGGUUAAUACCCCGCUGUUCUGACGGUACCCAAAGAAUAAGCACCGGCUAACUUCGUG